rnacentral:rRNA from 1 species
CCCUUAGAUGUUCUGGGCCGCACGCGCGCUACACUGAUGCAUUCAACGAGUCUAAAACCUGGUCUGAUAGGGGUGGGUAAUCUUUUGAAUGUGCAUCGUGAUUGGGAUAGAUGAUUGCAAUUUUUCAUCUUCAACGAGGAAUGCCUAGUAAACGCAAGUCAUCAGCUUGCAUUGAUUACGUCCCUGCCCUUUGUACACACCGCCCGUCGCUCCUACCGAUUGAAUGAUCCGAUGAAUAUCAUGGAUUGAGGAUGCAAGUAGGUUCGCCUAUCUUCAUCUUCGAGAAGUGAAGUAAAUCUUAUCAUUUAGAGGAAGGAGAAGUCGUAACA